GGGAGGAAAAGAAACUAACAAGGAUUUUCUUAGUAGCGGCGAGCGAAAAGAAUCAGUUCAGCACUAAGUCACUUUGUCUUUAUGGCAAAUGUGAGAUGCAGUGUAUGGAAUGUCUAAUUUCUAGUAUGAUAAAUUAACGAUUUAAGUCCUUCUUAAAUGAGGCCAUUUACCCAUAGAGGGUGCCAGGCCCGUAUAACGUUAAUGAUUACUAGAUGGCAUUUCCAAAGAGUCGUGUUGCUUGAUAGUGCAGCACUAAGUGGGUGGUAAACUCCAUCUAAAACUAAAUAUAACCAUGAGACCGAUAGUAAACAAGUACCGUGAGGGAAAGUUGAAAAGAACUCUGAAUAGAGAGUUAAAUAGUACGUGAAACUGCUUAGAGGUUAAGCCCGAUGAACCUGAAUAUCCAUUAUGGAAAAUUCAUCAUUAUGAUUUUAAUAUUUAUAAUAUUAUAAUAAUAGUGUGCAUUUUUUCUAUAACGGACAUUGUAAUCUAUUAACAUAAAUAUAUUUAUCAUAAGAUCAAUGAUGCGUAAGUUUAUUCAAAUUAUUUUGCUUGCAAUUUAACAUAGAAUAAAUGCUCUUGAUUUGAUAAAGUGUUGAUAGAUUUAUUGUAUAUAGUGCUUAAAUAUUUAUAUUUUAUAAUAGCAUAUUAAUCAUUGAUUUUUAUGUUUAUUAUAUGCACUUAUAUGAUUAACAAUGCGAAAGAUUCAGGAUACCUUCGGGACCCGUCUUGAAACACGGACCAAGGAGUCUAACAUAUUUGCAAGUUAUUGGGUAUCAAAACCUAAUAGCGAAAUUAACAUAACUUUAAUGGGAUUAGUUUUUAGAUUAUUUAUAGUCUAUUAAUUCAAUCCCGGGGCGUUCUAUAUGGUUAUGUAUAAUAAUAUUUAUAUUAUUUAUAUCUCUAACCAGAGCGUACCUUGAGCAUAUAUGCUGUGACCCGAAAGAUGGUGAACUAUACUUGAUCAGGUUGAAGUCAGGGGAAACCCUGAUGGAAGACCGAAACAG
rnacentral:rRNA from 1 species